UACAGAGGGGGCAAGCGUUGUUCGGAAUUACUGGGCGUAAAGGGCGCGUAGGCGGCCUGUUAAGUCGGACGUGAAAUCCCUCGGCUCAACCGGGGAACUGCGUCCGAUACUGGCGGGCUUGAAUUCGGGAGAGGGAUGUGGAAUUCCAGGUGUAGCGGUGAAAUGCGUAGAUAUCGGGAGGAACACCAGUGGCGAAGGCGGCUACCUGGCCCAUUCUUGACGCUGAGGCGCGAAAGCUAGGGGAGCAAACGGG
rnacentral:rRNA from 1 species